GAGUGCCCUUAGCUUUGAUAGCUAUAUUGGAACGUAGCAAAUCACAUGGGUAAAUGAGACUUUUCCUAAACUUUCAGUUCUCUACAGGUUUAUAUGAGUGCAGCUAAGCUGGAAACCAGACAAAGCCACCCUUGCAGGGUAAAACAGUCCAAGGUUGUGUGUUUGUAGGGCUGCUGUGCUGGGAUCUGUUACUUCAGCAUCUGAGUCAAUUGCAAACUGCAAUGGAGAGAGACUACCUUGCUCUUUAUUAUUAUUCUUAAAAAUGGGGAAAUAGAGAAAUUCAAGAACCUGCAUAAGCAUAUAGGCCCAGCUAGCCAGAUCUUGGGCACCUCGUCCCAAACGAAGUCUCUUGUUUUUUUUCUACCCCACUGAUUCCUCUAUAGCAUCUGACCUAAUGCAAGGGAACCAAAACCUGAAUCUACGUAGCAUAUUUUUGUGUAAUCUGAGAGAGAGUAACCCAGGGGCAGCAAGGAAAGUAAAGUAAAGUUUAGAGUGAUCUCAGUUCCUACUUUUAACCUCAACCUUGUAUUCUUAAUACAGAGUUUUUGCCUGACAGUCUGAUUGAAUUUCUCAGCAGAGUUUUUAGAAAUAUGUCAUUGUUUCACUCUGCUCUGUGAUGAAGGCCCGCGUCUCUAAGGGACUGUUGACAUUUUGCUGAUAUUUCAUCAAGUUUGGCCCUACCACAGAGCUACCAGAGCUGUUAGAGAGCACCAGCUCCUUCAAGAUCACCUGCCUUGCUGUGAGGCUGUACCUUUUACAUCACGUCUGUGAGAUGACUCCUCUCCUUGCUGGCAGACAAACCAGCUGGGUAGGCAUUGCUCUUCAGAGCUGUUCUGCACCUUGGAAGGUUCAGGCCAUUGCCUGGUUUAGCAUAAAGGAAGUCAAGGACAAGGACAGUGUUAUAAAUAAGGGGCAAAUAAGAGCUGUGUCCUGUUCCAGCUCUGCUGCAGUUGCAGAGAGCAACCUUGGGCAGAUCAGCUCCUCUGCAGCUGCUUUUCCCAGCCUUGCUCCUGCGUGCUGACUGUGACAGGGGUUUGUGAAGGGCUUUGGUCUCCUGGCUGGGCAGAGUUCAUUGCUGAUGAAAUGAAUGCAUACUUGCAGUAGGGGGCAAAUCUUAAACCUUUUAAGCUUUUCCAGAAGUGAUCUUCCUCCUCUGUAGCAUACCCCUCUUUUCUCCUGAUGCAGAUAAGGUGGUCCAUUGUGGGAAUAUCAACCUAGAGUAUUAUGGGUAAUAUUCCAGGUUAAUUAUGGAGGGGGCAGGAAAAAUAGCCUGUGCCGUUUUCAACAAUAUCAAAGGGAUGCUACCUAAUGAUUUUCCUAUUAGCUCUUUUCCCAGCCUGCCAGAGUCGCUGCAGAAGUGUCAUUUACAAAGGCAGUUUGCAACUCAUUACCCUGGAUUUUCACUGUAGUUCUGCUCCAGAGAGCGUGGGCUUUUGCUGCGUGCCCCAAACCUAAUGAAUUGCCUGAUUCGGUUAGUGCUGCCAUCCCUUCUGACAAGGUUAGUUGCUGACUGACAGGAAGGGGCCUGAAUUCAAUUCCCUUCUUGUUUUCGACUCACGCUUGUGUCAAGCGCAGGCUCCCUCUGGAAGCUGCCCUGUGAUCCCUUCCCUUUGUUUUUCUGCAUUCUGAGGGAAGCAGCCCAUGCUUGGAGAAGUCCUGCAGCAAGUGGCAGGAGCAUGUGUGCUGCUGCCCCUGGCAGUCCCUGCUCAAUGCCUCAAGUCCCUUUCCAGCUGGAAAAUUCCUUUGCUCUCCAGCUCUGGGGCUCUGGGCUUUCCUUUUUCUUCAUUGCUUUGGGAUUUGCUGUCACCUGAGCUGGGCUUUGUAACCCUUCAGCCAAUAAAUACCUUGGAAAAGUUGUAAUGUGGGCUGGGGGAACUGAACUAUCUCCCACACAUUAGAGGGCAACUGUGUCCCUGUUGUGGGAGCUCCAAGGUCUGCUCCAGCCUGUUUGAGCUUUGCCAGGCACUUGUACAAUAGAGCUGGAGAAAGCUCUUGGUCCUUCUUCACUAGAGAGCAGUGUGCUUUUUCAGGCUGGGGGCCUAUGGCUCAACUCCUGCUAGGAAUAGCUCCUGGAGAGGAGAAGUCAAGGCUGUUCUUAUGCCAUGUCACAAGUGUUCCUGCUUGGAAGCUGGAUGUGGCUACUGCUCAUUGAGCUGGUGGUGCAGGAAACAUGCAGGUGCUGAGAGUGCUGGUUUGAGCUGAGUGUGGACAGAGGAGCCUGGGACUCCUGCUCCCCUCACUUCCAGGUGUGUGGACACACCUGCUAAAUGCUGUUCUCUGAGCCUGCAGUUGAGAUGUCAGAUGCCACCCCCUGAGGCUGCAGCUUGCAUCCAGGACAUCUCUUGUUGUUCAGUUAUGCUGUCUCUGGGCUGGGCUGUGGCAGGGGAGUUUUUUAAUGCUGGCCUGGAUCCUUUUACUGGAUGUCUUGAGGAUCUGACCAAGCUGGCCCACAGGGGAGGCAGUGAUGUUUCAGAGAUCAGUUUGUUUCUGCUGCAGGUGGUGCCUCCUCCUCCACUCUUAAUUAGAUUCCUGUGGUCUCUCUUUCUUGCUGCCCUUGUUUGCUACUGAGCCCCUGUCAGGGAGACCCAGUUGUGGCCAUUUCAGCUGCUCACUCUGCUCUAAUGAGCUGCUUCUGAUUCCCAUUCUGGCUUCUCCACCGAACUAAGGAAGGUGCCCAUCAGUGCUCUGGAAACUGACCUCUACUGGCAGUGCCACUCUGCCUGUCAGACCCACCAGUCUGGCUGUGCCACGGGGAGCCUGAGGUUGAGUGGGUCUGAGUUAUCCCAAGUGCUCUUUCACCCCUGAGUGCUGCCUUCUCUCUUGAACAUCAGGUCACACCCCCACAUGGGCACAGUGUUUCCAUCCUGCAGGUGGGAAUCCACAUGCUGAGGGACAGGGUGACUUAUCCCUGGUCAGAGUAGAAGCAGCAAAGCAAGGAGCCAGGCUGUUAUCCCCUUCCUCUGCACCAGGAAGAGGAACCAGAACUCUCGCUCUGAUUGCUUCCUUCUGCCAAGCAACUGUCCUUUUGCUGUGCAGUUUUGUCCUUUUCCUUGGCCUUGCUCUUUACCAGUGGAUGGAAGGAACCUGUGCUGUGCUUUAUCCCUUGGACUACGCUGCAGAGGAGAAACGGGAAUCCAGACCGUACAUGACCCCAGGCUGUAAUCUCUGAUCUCUCCCGAGGCAUUGCUUCACUUAAGUGGUCAAACUGUGAAUGGAGUUCCUGGGACUGGGUCCUCCCCACUGUGUUGAGGAGAGCCCCUCUGUCACCAGGCAGGUGGUUUUAUUCCAGCUCUGGCUUGCAGCAAAAAGCCAAAACUGGAAGGGGAAUUGUCCCUACUGCGGUCCCAGCCUGGCACUCUGUUACAGUCACUACUCUGGAUUCACGCUCAAGGACCAGGACUCUGAGAGGGACCUGCAGCACCACCUUCUUACACCCUCUUUUCAGACCUGGUGUGCAAGGUGUGCACAGUAAGCAAUUCCUUAUUGUCCCUGAGGUCUGCUGCGUGACAGUGGACAGUACCCUCUAAUGGGCAUCUCUUUAGCCCGUCCUUCCCUGUAGAGAUGUGUGAAGCUGUAGGAUGUUGUAUUUGCCUUACAGAGCCCUGACAGUGGGUUGUCAUUACCUAUGGGCAGCUCUGGAGGGCUCCAGCUGACCCUCAGGCAGGGCACUGAGCUGCCACCUGCCCAUCCUGCCUCCCUCCCUCCCAGAGUCUUGAUUUUGUUCCCCAUAGGCAACAUCUUACGUGAUCCAUCAGCUGCUGCUCCCUGUCCUGCUGGACUCUGUGAGCACCACGAGGUGGGUACCUGUGUCUGAUGGAGGCUGUGCUCGUGCAAGGUUAGAAACGUCACCUGUGUGCUCCUAACCUGAUGAUUGAGCUGUCGGGUGUCUGGAUAAUUCCUCUUGUUCUAUAAACCUAAUGUUCUCUAAUAGUUGGGGUGAGUCUGGCUGAAGGUUUCUAUGGUUUCCUGGUGGUUGCUAAGGAAAAGGAUCGCUCUGCCUCUGGGUCUUGGUGACUUUCUUUUUGCCCUGUCCUAGGCACCGGAGCCCAGCAGAACAUAAUGCUUGUUGUUUCCCAGCCCACUACAAUGGUCAGGGCAUAAUUUGUGACUCCUGUCACGGCUGGGCUGGGCGCCUGCCACUCUUUUUUACUAAGGCCUCUUUGAAGAAUGAGACCAAAGAGCCUUCAUGCAGGCGUUUGCAUGUUUGCUGCGCUCCCCGCCCCCUCGCUUGCUGUUUCCUUUAGAGCUCCAGGUCAUUUGAACGAUUUAUUUCAUGCACUUUACAUAGCAAGAAGCUGUAGCAACAGCUGUGUCCAUGAAUCCUUACCAGGCAGCCCUCAGUAUAUUUUGGUUUGUCUACGUAUUGUCCCAGGCACAGUUAAAUAAAUCUCUGCUGGAGGAAGGGACUUUACAGCUCAGCAGCGAAGGGCUGGCGAAUGGGAAUAUCAACAAGAUACUUAGUGAGCUGCUGGAUCCUGGAAUAACAGCGCCUCUGGCAUAAAGCUCUGUUCCCACCAGCGCAGCUGGGGGCCAGAUCCAGCGCGGGCUCUUUGUUGCUGUCAGCAGGGACUGCGUCUCCAUCCGGCGCCCAGUGAUAAAACUAUAGUUACGGGGUGAAAGUUGGACCCAAGCCUGCAGACUGGAAGCAGUUAGGACAUAUCUAGGCCAGAUGCUGCCCUUGUCGCCCUGCUGUCGAUCCAGGGCUUGGCUGUUGAACGUGGUGUGCUCAUUUCCACGGGUGCCAUUUGGGAUCUGGGCAUGGAUGAGCUCAGUUGGGUUCUGCAGAGGUUUGGAGCUGCACGCAGUGCCAGGCAGCAUUCGGUCCCUCAGGACAUCACAGGAUUCACAAGUUUACUUUUGCAUACGGGAUCAAAGCUUAAAAUAUCAGCUGGCCUUUCUCUCGCUCCUGACUUUUCUAAAACAUCUGAACAAUUUCUUCUUUAGCUCUGUUAAAAUCAAUCAGUCUGACAUUUAAAUUGUAUGUGAAUUUGAUAAAUAAAGACAGGUUACAAAAU